rnacentral:tRNA from 1 species
GUAGUGAUGGUCCAGUGGUAGAAUUCUAGCCUUCCAUGCUGGAGACCCAGGUGUCAAUCUUGGCCAAUGCA